ACAUUGUCAACCAAUCAAAUUUCAAUAAUGCGUCAUGUCAAUUAAUAAAAUUAAAUAAACGAUAGAUAUUCUCACAUCUUUAAAAUCUGAUUGGCUGACGGUGU
rnacentral:pre_miRNA from 1 species